rnacentral:rRNA from 1 species
UACCAGCACCCCGAGUGGUCGGGACGAUUAUUGGGCCUAAAGCAUCCGUAGCCUGUUCUGCAAGUCCUCCGUUAAAUCCACCUGCUCAACGGAUGGGCUGCGGAGGAUACCGCAGAGCUAGGAGGCGGGAGAGGCAAACGGUACUCAGUGGGUAGGGGUAAAAUCCAUUGAUCUACUGAAGACCACCAGUGGCGAAGGCGGUUUGCCAGAACGCGCUCGACGGUGAGGGAUGAAAGCUGGGGGGAGCAAACCGGG